AUUGAACGCUGGCGGCAGGCUUAACACAUGCAAGUCGAGCGGAGAUGAGGUGCUUGCACCUUAUCUUAGCGGCGGACGGGUGAGUAAUGCUUAGGAAUCUGCCUAUUAGUGGGGGACAACAUUCCGAAAGGAAUGCUAAUACCGCAUACGCCCUACGGGGGAAAGCAGGGGAUCUUCGGACCUUGCGCUAAUAGAUGAGCCUAAGUCGGAUUAGCUAGUUGGUGGGGUAAAGGCCUACCAAGGCGACGAUCUGUAGCGGGUCUGAGAGGAUGAUCCGCCACCAUGGGACUGAGACACGGCCCAGACUCCUACGGGAGGCAGCAGUGGGGAAUAUUGGACAAUGGGCGGAAGCCUGAUCCAGCCAUGCCGCGUGUGUGAAGAAGGCCUUUUGGUUGUAAAGCACUUUAAGCGAGGAGGAGGCUACUUAGAUUAAUACUCUAGGAUAGUGGACGUUACUCGCAGAAUAAGCACCGGCUAACUCUGUGCCAGCAGCCGCAGUAAGAC
rnacentral:rRNA from 1 species